GGUGGAGGAACCAGACUGGAUGUUGGAAGUGAUGUCCGUCCCACCCUGACGGUGCUGCCCCCCUCCAGCGAGGAGCUGCAGCAGGGGAAGGCCACGCUCAUGUGCCUGGCCAACAAGGGCUUCCCCUCAGACUGGAGUCUGGCCUGGAAGGUGGACGGCAGCAGCAGCAGCAGCAGCUGGGAGGAGAGCAGGAGCCCCGGGGUGCUGCAGAAGGACGGCCACUACAGCUGGAGCAGCACCCUAAGGCUCUCUGCAGACCAGUGGAGGAAGGUGGGCUCUGUGACCUGUGAGGCCACCCAGGGCUCCCAGACUCCGCUCUCAGAGACACUGAGGAGAGACCAGUGUUCCCAGUCCUGACCUGACUCACUGGGACUCUGCUACUGGUUUUCCUCUGCUCCUGCUCUCACUCUGCACUCUGGAACUGUCUCUCUCUUUUAUUUGACAUCUUUCAACAGCAAGAUUUACUAGCUUGUUGCACUGUUUCAAUAUUAUUUCAGUGUUUCCAGAUAAUAAAGACCUUUUCAUCCAA